UUUUUAGUAUGAGUAUCUCCCAUGCAAUAUUUGGGACAUACUUAUAUUAAAA
rfam:Ailuropoda melanoleuca scaffold1372_15, whole genome shotgun sequence.